rnacentral:misc_RNA from 1 species
GAAGAAGAAGAGAUGCCAUGAUCGAAGGGAGAUUGAGAUUUGUUGAUGCUAUUGUUGGUUCUUGAGGCAUGUGGGAAGAGAGCGAUAGAGAAGAAGCAACAGAUGAAAAUGAAGAGAUACAGAGAAGGAUUGGGUUCCCAAAUGGAGGCGUCGAUGACCACUGCCAUUUUUAAGAUGUAGUGCACAGAUCUGGAAAUUUAGGAUUUUGUUCUCAGAUUGGUAAAGACGUGCAUUUCAAGCUCAUUGAAGAAGAAACUCAACUGUUAACUG